rnacentral:lncRNA from 1 species
UAAUGAAGGAAAUCAAAUCCUACCAACUAUAGGACUGUACAACAAUGAAAGAAUAUUCUACCAAUAAUAAAAAGAUACACACAAUAUAUUCUAAUAGUUAGAGAGCAUGCUUUCUAAAUACUUAAUUAUAUAAUGUCUCAACCUUAUCAUCCUCCUAUCAUCAAGUUAACGCAUGCUUUCUUUUUGUUACUUCCAAAGCUGACUAACAUUACAU